CUACGGGAGGCAGCAGUGAGGAAUAUUGGGCAAUGGCCGAAAGGCUGACCCAGCAACGCCGCGUGGAGGACGAAGACCUUCGGGGUGUAAACUCCUUUUCUGGGGGAAGAGAAAGGCCGGUACCCCAGGAAGAAGUCACGGCUAACUACGUGCCAGCAGCCGCGGUAAAACGUAGGUGGCAAGCGUUAUCCGGAUUUACUGGGCGUAAAGCGCGCGCAGGUGGUAGCGUAAGUUGGAUGUGAAAUCUCCUGGCUCAACUGGGAGGGGUCGUUCAAGACUGCGUUGCUUGAGGUCGAGGAGGAGUGCGGAAUUCCCGGUGUAGUGGUGGCAUGCGUAGAUAUCGGGAGGAACACCAGUGGCGAAAGCGGCACUCUGGCUCGCACCUGACACUGAGGCGCGAAAGCGUGGGGAGCAAACGGGAUUAGAACCCCUUGUAGUCC
rnacentral:rRNA from 1 species